AGUGAACGCUGGCGGUAGGCCUAACACAUGCAAGUCGAACGGCAGCACAGUAAGAGCUUGCUCUUACGGGUGGCGAGUGGCGGACGGGUGAGGAAUACAUCGGAAUCUACUUUUUCGUGGGGGAUAUCGGGGGAAAGCUGCCACUACUACCUAAUAUAUCCAACGGCGUAAAUCAGUGGUUCUUGGCCCUUUUGCCGUUUGAUUUAGCCGGUGCCGGAUUAGCUAGUUGGCGGGGUAAGGGCCCACCAAGGCAACGAUCCGUAGCUGGUCUGAGAGGAUGAUCAGCCACACUGGAACUGAGACACGGUCCAGACUCCUACGGGAGGCAGCAGUGGGGAAUAUUGGACAAUGGGCGCAAGCCUGAUCCAGCCAUACCGCGUGGGUGAAGAAGGCCUUCGGGUUGUAAAGCCCUUUUGUUGGGAAAGAAAAGCAGCAGGUUAAUACCCCGCUGUUCUGACGGUACCCAAAGAAUAAGCACCGGCUAACUUCGUG
rnacentral:rRNA from 1 species